GCCAUAGCUCAGUGGUAAAGCAUCUACCUUGCAAGCGGAAGGUCCCUGGUUCAAUCUCUGCCAUCAGGCA